rnacentral:tRNA from 1 species
AAGAUUUUAAGUUAACCAAACUAAUAUCCUUCAAAGUUAUAAAUAAAGUGAUUCAUCUUUAAGUCUUA